UCAAACUUGGUCAUUUAGAGGAAGUAAAAGUCGUAACAAGGUCUCCGUUGGUGAACCAGCGGAGGGAUCAUUACCGAGUUUACAACUCCCAAACCCCAUGUGAACCUAUACCUGUUUUACCGUUGCUUCGGCGGGCUCACCCGCCCGUCGAGGGGACAAACCAAACUCUUGUAUCUCUGUACUGUAAGCAUGUCUGAGUGGUAUGAAAAGAAAUGAAUCAAAACUUUCAACAACGGAUCUCUUGGUUCUGGCAUCGAUGAAGAACGCAGC
rnacentral:misc_RNA from 1 species